GUAACGGGGUGUUAGGGCACGACACCGGAGAGGGAGCCUGAGAAACGGCUACCACAUCCAAGGAUGGCAGCAGGCGCGCAAAUUACCCAAUCCCGACACGGGGAGGUAGUGACAAUAAAUAACAAUACGGGGUUCUAAAGGAUUUCGUAAUUGGAAUGAGUACAAUUUAAAUCUCUUAACGAUCAACAAUUGGAGGGCAAGUCUGGUGCCAGCAGCCGCGGUAAUUCCAGCUCCAAUAGCGUAUAUUAAAGUUGUUGCAGUUAAAAAGCUCGUAGUUGAAUUUCGGGGUUAGUAGGUUGGUCAUGCCUCUGGUAUGUACUGAUCUCACUGAUUCCUCCCUCUUGACGAACUGUAAUGUCAUUAAUUUGGUGUUGCAGGAAAUCAGGACUGUUACUUUGAAGAAAUUAGAGUGUUUAAAGCAGGCUUAGGCUUGAAUACAUUAGCAUGGAAUAAUGAAAUAGGACGUUUGAACCUAUUUUGUUGGUUUCUAGGAUCGACGUAAUGAUUAAUAGGGAUAGUUGGGGGCAUUAGUAUUCAAUUGUCAGAGGUGAAAUUCUUGGAUUUAUUGAAGACUAACUACUGCGAAAGCAUUUGCCAAGGAUGUUUUCAUUAAUCAAGAACGAAAGUUAGGGGAUCGAAGACGAUCAGAUACC
rnacentral:rRNA from 1 species